rfam:Toxocara canis scaffold559, whole genome shotgun sequence.
UGGGCAGUAGCUCACUGGUAGAGCUCCCGCUUCCUAUUCGGGAAGACCUGGGUUGGGUUCCCGGCUACUUCU